UACAGAGGGUGCGAGCGUUAAUCGGAAUUACUGGGCGUAAAGCGCGCGUAGGCGGCUUUGCAAGUCGGGUGUGAAAUCCCCAGGCUUAACCUGGGAACUGCAUUCGAGACUGCAUUGCUAGAGUACGGGAGAGGGAAGUGGAAUUUCCGGUGUAGCGGUGAAAUGCGUAGAGAUCGGAAGGAACACCAGUGGCGAAGGCGGCUGUCUGGACAGAUACUGACGCUGAGGUACGAAAGCGUGGGGAGCAAACAGG
rnacentral:rRNA from 1 species